AAGGCCAUGGUCUAUGUUUAUGAUUUAUGAGUUGCAUUCAUAAGAAGUUUUUUAACUGGUUUUA
rnacentral:tRNA from 1 species